GGGCGCAUAGCUCAGCUGGUCAGAGCACCUGCCUUACAAGCAGGGGGUCAGGGGUUCGAGUCCCUUUGCGCCCA
rnacentral:tRNA from 1 species